UUUAAUGAGAGUUUGAUCCUGGCUCAGGACGAACGCUGGCGGCGUGCCUAAUACAUGCAAGUAGAACGCUGAAGUCUGGUACUUGCACUAGACGGAUGAGUUGCGAACGGGUGAGUAACGCGUAGGUAACCUGCCUCAUAGCGGGGGAUAACUAUUGGAAACGAUAGCUAAUACCGCAUAACAGUAUUAACCGCAUGGUAGAUACUUGAAAGGAGCAAUUGC
rnacentral:rRNA from 1 species